rnacentral:rRNA from 1 species
GAUGAACGCUGGCGGCGUGCCUAAUACAUGCAAGUCGAGCGAACGGACGAGAAGCUUGCUUCUCUGAUGUUAGCGGCGGACGGGUGAGUAACGCGUGGAUAACCUACCUAUAAGACUGGGAUAACUUCGGGAAACCGGAGCUAAUACCGGAUAAUAUUUUGAACCGCAUGGUUCAAAAGUGAAAGACGGUCUUGCUGUCACUUAUAGAUGGAUCCGCGCUGCAUUAGCUAGUUGGUAAGGUAACGGCUUACCAAGGCAACGAUGCAUAGCCGACCUGAGAGGGUGAUCGGCCACACUGGAACUGAGACACGGUCCAGACUCCUACGGGAGGCAGCAGUAGGGAAUCUUCCGCAAUGGGCGAAAGCCUGACGGAGCAACGCCGCGUGAGUGAUGAAGGUCUUCGGAUCGUAAAACUCUGUUAUUAGGGAAGAACAUAUGUGUAAGUAACUGUGCACACCUUGACGGUACCUAAUCAGAAAGCCACGGCUAACUACGUG